AAUAGAUACCCCGGUAGUCCACGCCGUAAACGUUGGGCACUAGGUGUGGGACUCUAUCGACGGGUUCCGUGCCGUAGCUAACGCAUUAAGUGCCCCGCCUGGGGAGUACGGCCGCAAGGCUAAAACUCAAAGGAAUUGACGGGGGGCCCGCACAAGCGGCGGAGCGUGUGGCUUAAUUCGAUGCAACGCGAAGAACCUUACCUGGGCUUGACAUUUAUGGUAAAGCGGAUGAAAGUCCGUGUCCUUCGGGGCCAUAAACAGGUGGUGCAUGGCUGUCGUCAGCUCGUGUCGUGAGAUGUUGGGUUAAGUCCCGCAACGAGCGCAACCCUGUCCUAUGUUGCUAGCGGGUAAUGCCGAGGACUCGUAGGAGACCGCCGGUGCCAAACCGGAGGAAGGUGGGGACGAAGUCAAGUCAUCAUGCCCCUUACGUCCAGGGCUGCACACGCGCUACAAUGGCCGGUACAAAGGGCUGCGAACUCGCGAGGGUGAGCCAAUCCCAAAAGCCGGUCUCAGUUCGGAUUGCAGUCCGCAACUCGACUGCA
rnacentral:rRNA from 1 species